AAAUUUACAUUAGAUGGUGUAGUCCUGCUUCCUUUUUGUAAGGGUAAAAAAUGGUGGGAGUGUUUCUUUUUGGAAAGAUACUUAGCUUGGGGAUUCUUCUCUUGAUGUGUUGUUCCCACAUUUGUACCAUUUGGUCUGUUCUCAUAAUGUUCCAUCGCAUCUAUAGUGCUUUCCCAAUCGGCACUGAUUUCAUGAAAUUUCAAUUUUUUUUUUAUAGAAAUAUUAAUGAUCAUGAAUCGAUUGAGUUGGCAACUUGGCAUCCUUAUUGAACAUCCUUUAAGGUUUCUCCGUGAGACCCAAUGUCAAUGACAAAUGGGUUUGGUCACUUAAUUCUUCGGAAAUCUUCUCAGGCAAACCGUUUUUCAACAAGAUCAUUGGUAAUCACAAUGCUCAUCCUUUUCUCCAUCGUUCUAGGAUUUGGAACAAUUUGAAGCAAAUCGUUAAGGUUUUUGUGUGGACUUGGCUCACAGGAGUCUCAUGACCAAUUACAUAUUUCAAAACUAGGCUUUGUGGAAUUUUGUCUUUUGUUUUGUUCAUGGAUAUUUGGUUGGAGCACAUUGCUAGAAUCUUUGAGGACAAAUUUAAGGACAUUGAUUCUCUUUGGGAUAGAUUGUUUUUUAUCCUCAUUUGGGGCUUUGCUUUCUUUUCCUUUUAAGGGGAUUCAAUUAUAUUUGUUUUUUAGAAUCAGUGGGCGGUAUGUCAUCAGUGGUCUAUAAUCUUGAUGAAUUUUGCUCUUUUUAUUUAUUUUUUCUUUUUUUGAUUCUUUUGGUGGACUUUUUGUUUCCCACUUUCUUGUAAUUUUCUUUAUUUAUGCUUAUUAAUAUAUUAUUUUUGUUUCUGAUAAAAAAAGAUCCUGUAAUAGGCAUUUUGAUAAACACUUCCCAUUUGAUUUACUGAAGUCAGUUCCUGACAAAAAUAUUUGUGUUUUAUUGAGUUACCUCACUUUUAACUUGUAGCUAGCUGCAAAGAAAAACUUUCUAGGAACACUCUCCAUUAGUUUAAAGGGAAUUUAAUUCUUGUCACAAAAGUAGUGCUUUAGUGAGUGACCUUAGUUUCAACUUAUUGCUAAUGAUAUGAUAUACUUCAAAGAAAUCUUUUCCAGGUACAUUGAGUGUUCUGUUAAUGUAAGAAACUUUUUGUUGGACUGAGUGGGAGAUUUUUUACUACCUUUGUUAAGGACGUAGAGAGGCACAUGUACAAUACUAGUUUCUUGUUGAUGUUCUUCCUUUCUUUUUUAGAAAGUGAAAUUUUAUUGCAAUGGUUGGGUUAAGAAUUUUUGUAUACUAUAUUUUGACCAUGCAUCUCCAGGUGUUACCUGAGUAACUUGAGUAGCCCUUUAAUCUUAUUGUUUCUUAAUGCUUCUGGUCUCUGGAACUGUCCACUUGCUUGUAAUAUUUCGUCAAUAAAUUCUUGUAGAAUUCAAUUACCGUCCAUCUUCAUCUAAUAAUUUUGAUGUGUUAGCAUCGUGUAAUUCAAAAAAGGUGGAGAAAACAAACAAGGCGGAGUGUAAGCAAUAGGAGAAGGUGUAUUCCAAAGGUUUGCACAACCUGGGGGAUGUGAAUGAAAGGGAAAUGAUGAGCACCUGAUGUAGGAUGAGUAGGGAUUACUUUACUACAAGUAGUGAGCCCGACUUAAAUAUACUGGUAGCAGUAAUUAUAGGCUUAUAGGGUUGGAUUUGGUAGGAUUUUGUGGCUGCAAAUGUAUUUUAAAAAAUAGGAGUUUAAGGGUUUAUGAAAGGGUAGGGUUUUGGGAAUGAAAACAUGAGUGUAGGGGCUGGCAGGUGGCUGUUCUGAGCACUGUGAACAGUAAUCUUGCUGGAUAGAAGAGGUGGAGAGAGAGAGGUGCUUCACCCUCACAAGGGAUAGGCCAAUCACACAAACACAAUAUCAAAAUUUCAUAAUAUUAACUCUGUAUUGGCUAAAGACUCCUAAUUUUAUAAGGACUAUUUCUCAAAUUUAGAAACUAAAAAUAUUUAGCAACUACUAAUAUUCUAGACCAAUUAUGACUUCCAAUUCUACUUCAAUCAUAAUAGGAAACUCUAAUGACUUCUAAUUCUGCUUCAAUAUCAAAAUAGGAAAUUUUGACUUUUGACUUUUGACUACUAAGAUUAUUUUAGACAUAAUAAAGCCCAUAUAUAAUAACCCAUUUAAUAAUUUAACCCAAAAUAAAAUCCAUGGGUGACCCCUACAACCCAUGUCCAACAAUUAUUGGAAUUACCGUUAUACCCUUAAUUACUAAAACCUACUAUAAUGACAUGAAAAUUCAAAAUUAUUCCAAAUCUUUAACUCUUGAUGCACUAAAUGUGUUUCAUGUGAAAUUCUAGAUUUGCUCUUUUUCUUCUUUCCAUGGUCUUCAUCAGCACCCCUUCAAGGGAGGAGACUUUGGAUGGGCUGCCCUUUCUCAAAGUGUGGCAACUUUGGAUGGGCCUGCCCUUUCUCAAAGUGUGGCUUCUAAAGAUGUGUCUUCUACUCCUAGAGAAAAGGAAAUCAAGAAUACUAAAAGAAAUAUGCACUGCAUUCUUUGUUCUAGAGAUGAGACCAAGAGGAAGCUCGACAAGAACAUUCUUAAUCUAAAGCUUGCAUGGGCAAAAUCCUUUGCUAAAUUGUCUACCAAUCCUAAGCACUUUAUUGUGAAAUUCCAAGAAAAUGUGGGAUAGUGGUUUUCUUUCUUUUUAUGUUUUGUUUUUGUGUCUAGCUUCUCGGGUUGUGAGAAGUGUGUUUUGUGCACCUUUUUUUGGGUCGUGAGAGGCUUGUUUCUCAGUGGUUUGGGUUUGAGUGUCCUUUGUGUCUAUUCUUCUCGGGUUGUGAGGGGCUUUCCUUUCUAGGUUAGGUCCUUUGUGUGUGCCUUUGUAGCAAGGUGGCCUCUUGGCAGUGUUUUGAGUUCUGUUGUAUAUUCUUCUGUUUUGGGUACUUUCUUUUUUUGUAGUAAAAGCUUACUAAAAAAAUGGUUUUGGCUGCUCAUUGGAAAGUACAAUCCUAUCAUUAAUGAGUACAAAUCUAUUUGCAGCUGGCUUGAUUAGAACCAUAGGGCGCCAAAGAGGUUGACCUUUGAAAUUGACCCUUGUUCUGUAUUCUCAUUUGUAGCCACUGUUCCUUGGGUUGUUUAGUGCUCUCAGGAAGUUGAGGCUUUGGCCUAGAAAGUGGAUCCCAAUUAAAACAGAGGGCGGCAAGUAGAAGAGCUGGAGAAGGUGGCGAAGCAGAAAAGUGAACAAAUUGCAUCACUCAUGGUGGAUACCAUAAAUCAAAGAAAAAAAGCUUUUAGAGUACCAAAACAUGAAAGAAUCGUCAAUGCAGGAAAGCUUACAUGUGAACUGGGUCACCAAGUAAUGAAUUAUAGCUAGUGUUUCAAUUCUGGCAAACUCAUACCCAGGACGCAUUCUUGGUCCUCCUCCGAAUGCCACAAAGCAGUAAGGAGGGGCUGGUGCUUGUUUCUCAAAGCGUGUUGGAUUUGGGAAAAUUGUCUCAUCCAUUGAAUAGAAGCUCAACGAUGAAGAGAUGUAUAUCUUCCCUCUCUUUGAUCAGAUCUGCUUUCUCUCUGAUCUGCUAAUAUGGUAAUAUCAGAUCUACUCUGUCUCUCUCUAGUAUAUUAUUUUGCCUUUUUUAGGAAUCUCAUUCUGGCAUUUUCUUGCUUUCUGACUCUCCUAAUAAUCGUUUCAGUGUAGUUCCCAUUUAAAUUGAUAAAACUACUAUAUGUAGAUGAUAUGGCCUUUUAUUUUGUGAAGCUACAAGAGAUUAUCUUAAAAAGAUCAUUCUGCAUCUUAAAGUGUUUUGUGGUUUCUAACAUUGGUCAUUCAACUCUUGUUUUAUUUUUUAUUUUUUGUUGAGUUACCUAGAUCAUGGUUCCAUCAAAAAGGGGGGAAAAGACACCCUUUGGUGGCCUAAAGUUUAUUCUAUUUAAUCUUGUUACUUCUGCAGCCCAUAUAAUAUGCUUUAUGCUUGUCACUAGUAUAUUUUGAUACAAUUCAUGCUUGGGAGUUUAUACAAUGUAGCCGACCCCAUUUAAUGGGACUUAAGGCUUGGUUUGGUUUGGUUUUGGUUAACAAAAUAUCAAAUUUCAGAAAGUAUAUUCGUUGAAAUUUUUGAAAAUGGGAAGUAUGAAGAUGGCCAAUCAAAUAAAAAAAGGGUCAUAUGUUUGAGGUGUAUUUAUUCUGGACAGCUAUAUUCAUGAUUGUUAGAUAUACAAUAUUUGAUUUUUUUGUUGAAUGUAAGGUAGAGCAAUGAUAUUCACACUCCACUUGUGAGAGGCUAAAAGACAAAAAAUAGAGUGAAAAGUUUAAAAGAGAAUGGGAAUAUCAUUUCUAUUAAUGCUUUACUGAAUAGGAUGAAGAUGGUUGGUUUUUAUUGUAUUGCAUACUCACUCAUACUUUGUUCCAAUGCCUAUUUUUCUUUCAGCUUGAGAUCCAAAGUAAUUUGGCGAUGUGGAGAAGAAAAAUAAUGUUCAGUGUGACUGCUAGGUUAAUAACCAAACAUGUGGUUGGACUUGGCCUUGGGAGAGGGUUGCUUUCUUUCUUUUUCUUUCAGGUGUCUCCCAAAUCUCCAAAAAACCCACAAAUCCCUAAAACGCUCAGGUUCAAGUUCUCAACAAGUUUUCUAAUUAUGGGUGUUGUGAAGAUAGUGUCAACAAACGGAUUUCUGCUGGUUGCAAAGUAAAGAUUUGGAUUGCAGAUUGGUUUGCACAGUUGAACAACAAAAUAGGGGGAUGAUUUGAAGAAAAUUCAGAUUGUUGGACAGUACACGAUUGAGAUUUGGAAAGUUGUAAGGUUAAAUCUCAAAGGAGAUAACGUUGAAAGGAGGCCUUUUUUCUAAAAAAAACACCACUAAAUGAUGUCAUCUUGACAUUAUAUCCGAGGCAAGUACAAAAAUGAAGAGAGGUAGUGUUUUUUGGAAAAAUGUCACUAAAUGAUGUCAUCAUUACAUCAUACGUUAAUUGUGACGGAAAAGUAAGUGGAUUUUUGUGAUGUUUUUAAAACACUGCUAAGUUAUUGCGGCAGUCGUAUGUGUGACAAAAAUAUCAAACAUUGUAAAAACCUAUUGCGGAAUUUUUCAAGCCUAUAGUGGCAUUUUUGAAACGCCGGUAAAAAUCAAUUUUCCUACA